UCCCCGAUUUCCGGGGCAGUCUCCCUAGAGUUCCCGGCUUGACCCGUUGGCAACUAGGGAUAGGGGUUGCGCUCGUUGCGCCACUUAAGGCAGCACCUCACGACACGAGCUGACGACAGCCAUGCAGCACCUGUCUUACGGCUCCCGAAGGCACCCUCCUGUUUCCCUAGGAGGCUCCAUCUCUGGAGUUGUCAGAGGCAUUCUAGCCCAGGUAAGGUUCUUCGCGUUGCGUCGAAUUAAACCACAUGCUCCACCGCUUGUGCGGGUCCCGUCAAUUCCUUUGAGUUUCAGUCUUGCGACCGUACUCCCCAGGCGGAAUGCUUAAAGCGUUAGCGACGGCACCCGGGGACUAUAUAACCCCAGACACCAAGCAUUCAUCGUUUAAGGCUAGGACUA
rnacentral:misc_RNA from 1 species